GAAUUUAAGCCCCAGUAAACGGCGGUGGUAACUAUAACCAUCCUAAGGUAGCGAAAUUCCUUGUCGGGUAAGUUCCGACCUGCACGAAUGGCGUAACGACUUCCCAGCUGUCUCCACCAUGAACUCGGCGAAAUUGCAGUACGAGUAAAGAUGCUCGUUACGCGCAGAAGGACGGAAAGACCCCGUGACCUUUACUACAGCUUGGUAUUGGUGUUCGGUGUGGCUUGUGUAGGAUAGGUGGGAGACUGUGAAGCAGGGACGCUAGUUCUGGUGGAGUCGUUGUUGAAAUACCACUCUGGUCAUACUGGAUGUCUAACUACGGACCCUGAUCGGGUUCUGGGACAGUGCCUGGUGGGUAGUUUAACUGGGGCGGUUGCCUCCCAAAAUGUAACGGAGGCGCCCAAAGGUUCCCUCAACCUGGUUGGCAAUCAGGUGGCGAGUGUAAGUGCACAAGGGAGCUUGACUGUGAGACUGACAGGUCGAGCAGGGACGAAAGUCGGGACUAGUGAUCCGGCAGUGGCUUGUGGAAGCGCUGUCGCUCAACGGAUAAAAGGUACCUCGGGGAUAACAGGCUGAUCUUGCCCAAGAGUCCAUAUCGACGGCAUGGUUUGGCACCUCGAUGUCGGCUCGUCGCAUCCUGGGGCUGGAGUAGGUCCCAAGGGUUGGGCUGUUCGCCCAUUAAAGCGGUACGCGAGCUGGGUUUAGAACGUCGUGAGACAGUUCGGUCCCUAUCCUCUGCGCGCGUUGGAGAUUUGAGAGGAUCUGACCCUAGUACGAGAGGACCGGGUUGGACGGACCUCUGGUGUGCCAGUUGUUCUGCCAAGGGCAUGGCUGGUUUGCUACGUUCGGGAUGGAUAACCGCUGAAAGCAUCUAAGCGGGAAGCCGGCCUCAAGAUGAGAUCUCCAUGGACUUCGGUCCGUGAGGCUCCCAGGAGAUUACUGGGUUGAUAGGCCAGAUGUGGAAGUGGGGUAACUCAUGGAGCUGACUGGUACUAAUAAGCCGAUGACUUGAUAAU
rnacentral:rRNA from 1 species